GGGGACACCGAGACGCGGGAGGGACGCAGGGACACCGGGGGGGGCGCCGAGGUGUGGGAGGGACACGGGGACACCAAGACGUGGGGACAAUGAGGGGUCACGGGGACACGGGGACAAGGUGGGGACACGGGGACACCGGGGGGGACACGGGGACACCGGGGGGGCGCCAAGAUGUGGGAGGGACAUGGGGACACCAAGACGUGGGGACAACGAGGGGACACAGGGACAAGGUGGGACACGGGGAUACCGUAGGGACAAUGUGGGGACACCGAGACAUGAGGACAACGAGGGGACAAGGGGAGGGGACACCGAGACAUGGGGACAACGAGGGGACACGGGGACAAGGUGGGGACACCAAGACGUGGGAGGGACGCGGGGACACCGGGGGGGGGCGCCGAAGAUGUGGGAAGGACACGGGGACACCAAGACGUGGGGACACCGAGGGGACACGGGGACAAGGGGGGGACACGGGGACAAGGUGGGGACACGGGGACAAGGUGGGGACAUGGGCACAAAGUGGGGACACCAAGACACGGGGACAACGAGGGGACACCGAGACAUGGGGACAACGAGGCACAGGAACACAAGGACAACGAGGGGACACGGGGACAACGAGGGGACACGGGGACAACGAGGGGACACGGGGACAUGGGGACAAUGUGGGACACGGGGACAAGGUGGGGACAACGAGACACGGGGACAAGGUGUGGACAUUGGGACAACGUGAGACGUGGAGACGAGGGGGACACCAAGGCAUGGUGGGGACACGGGGACAAUGUGGGGACACCGAGACACGGGAGGGACACGGGGACACCAUGGGGACAACGAGGGGACACCAAGACACGGGGACACGGAGGAGAUGGGGACAAAUUGGGGACACGGGGACAACGUAGGGCCACAGAGACAUGAAAACACGGGGUGGGGGGACACGGGGACAAUUUGGGGACACGGGGACGUCGCGGGUACCACGGGCGUCACGGGGCCGUCGCGGGCGGCGUGGGGACGUCGUGGGGACCGAAAUCGCCGUGGGGACAUCACGGGGACGUCAAAAAAAGGAAGAAAGAAAAAAAAAGCGAAGAGCCCGGGCAGCGAUGGGGACAGCGGGGGCGGGGA
rnacentral:lncRNA from 1 species